rnacentral:lncRNA from 1 species
CCGAGUAAAAGGAGACAAUUAAGAUAUCCCAUCACAAUAUGUAUUUCACAAUUUGAAAAUUCAUCCCAACCCAUGCAAACGGUUGUAUUUCAUUUAAUUUCUCAUUUAGGCUUAUGACUUCUAUAAACAUUUGGCUCAUGCCAUCAAAUAGUACUCGACGACACCUUGAUCAGAGGCGUACACUCGAGCCCGCCAAGGUUGUUAAAAUUUUGUAUAC